GUAGCCGACUGACAUUCUUUAGUUUGGGUGUGGGGAUGGAGGCAGCUUCUGGAUUCAAAGCAACUAAAGCCUUGGACAUGUCACAUUCUUGAAGUUCCAUGUUUGCUUGCAUGUAAUUCUGUAGAUUCACAGUCAACUCUUCCAUGUUGAGUUUUAUAGUUGGUAUUUCAUCAGUAUCCUCAUCAUUUAUAUCCUCUAUAUCACUUUCUGUUACUUCAUUGUGUUCUUGUUUUGGUGUUGCUGGCUCU
rnacentral:misc_RNA from 1 species